rnacentral:rRNA from 1 species
AACGAACGCUGGCGGCAGGCCUAACACAUGCAAGUCGAACGCACCGCAAGGUGAGUGGCGCACGGGUGAGUAACACGUGGGAAUGUACCCUUUGGUUCGGAAUAACGUUUGGAAACGAACGCUAAUACCGGAUGAGCCCUGCGGGGAAAGAUUAUCGCCAAAGGAGCAGCCCGCGUCUGAUUAGCUAGUUGGUGGGGUAAAGGCCUACCUAGGCGACGAUCAGUAGCUGGUCUGAGAGGAUGAUCAGCCACACUGGGACUGAGACACGGCCCAGACUCCUACGGGAGGCAGCAGUGGGGAAUAUUGGACAAUGGGCGCAAGCCUGAUCCAGCCAUGCCGCGUGAGUGAUGAAGGCCUCGGUUGUAAAGACUCUUUCGUCACGCGACGAUGAUGACGGUAGCGUGAGAAGAAGCCCGGCCUAACUUCGUGCCAGCAGCCGCGGUAA